rnacentral:rRNA from 1 species
UGCGCAGGCGGUCUCUUAAGCCAGAUGUGAAAUCCCCGGGCUCAACCUGGGAACUGCGUUUGGUACUGGGAGGCUGGAGUGCGGCAGAGGGGGGUGGAAUUCCACGUGUAGCAGUGAAAUGCGUAGAUAUGUGGAGGAACACCGAUGGCGAAGGCAGCCCCCUGGGCUAGCACUGACGCUCAUGCACGAAAGCGUGGGGAGCAAACAGGAUUAGAUACCCUGGUAGUCCACGCCCUAAACGACGGCGACUAGUUGUUGGGGAUUUAACAUCCUUAGUAACGCAGCUAACGCGUGAAGUCGCCCGCCUGGGGAGUACGGUCGCAAGAUUAAA